CGUACAUCCAGAGAACUUAGCAGAGAUGCUUUGGUGCCUUCGGGAACUCUGAGACAGGCGCUGCAUGGCUGUCGUCAGCUCGUGUUGUGAAAUGUUGGGUUAAGUCCCGNAACGAGCGCAACCCUUAUCCUUUGUUGCCAGCGGUUCGGCCGGGAACUCAAAGGAGACUGCCGGUGAUAAACCGGAGGAAGGUGGGGAUGACGUCAAGUCAUCAUGGCCCUUACGGCCAGGGCUACACACGUGCUACAAUGGCGCAUACAAAGAGAAGCGACCUCGCGAGAGCAAGCGGACCUCAUAAAGUGCGUCGUAGUCCGGAUUGGAGUCUGCAACUCGACUCCAUGAAGUCGGAAUCGCUAGUAAUCGUAGAUCAGAAUGCUACGGUGAAUACGUUCCCGGGCCUUGUACACACCGCCCGUCACACCAUGGGAGUGGGUUGCAAAAGAAGUAGGUAGCUUAACCUUCGGGAGGGCGCUUACCACUUUGUGAUUCAUGACUGGGGUGAAGUCGUAACAAGGUAAGCGUAGCGAG
rnacentral:rRNA from 1 species